GAGUUUGAUCGUGGCUCAGAUUGAACGCUGGCGGCAUGCCUUACACAUGCAAGUCGAACGGCAGCACGGGAGCUUGCUCCUGGUGGCGAGUGGCGAACGGGUGAGUAAUGCAUCGGAACGUAUCCUGGAGUGGGGGAUAACGUAGCGAAAGUUACGCUAAUACCGCAUAUUCUGUGAGCAGGAAAGCGGGGGACCUUCGGGCCUCGCGCUCUUGGAGCGGCCGAUGUCGGAUUAGCUAGUUGGUGAGGUAAAGGCUCACCAAGGCGACGAUCCGUAGCAGGUCUGAGAGGAUGAUCUGCCACACUGGAACUGAGACACGGUCCAGACUCCUACGGGAGGCAGCAGUGGGAAUUUUGGACAAUGGGGGCAACCCUGAUCCAGCCAUGCCGCGUGAGUGAAGAAGGCCUUCGGUU
rnacentral:rRNA from 1 species